rnacentral:tRNA from 1 species
GAAGGUAUAGAUCAAUGACAGAGCGUGAACUUAGGAUGCACAAGAUCCUGGGUUCAAUCCCCAGUACCUCUG